rnacentral:rRNA from 1 species
UACGUAGGGUCCGAGCGUUGUUCGGAAUCACUGGGCGUAAAGGGCGCGUAGGCGGCCCUUCUUGUCGCGUGUGAAAGCCCCGGGCUCAACCUGGGAACGGCGCGCGAGACGGGGGGGCUGGAGUUCGGGAGAGGAGGCGUGGAAUUCCCAGUGUAGAGGUGAAAUUCGUAGAUAUUGGGAAGAACACCGGUGGCGAAGGCGGCGCUCUGGACCGAGACUGACGCUGAGGCGCGAAAGCGUGGGAGCAAACAGG